rnacentral:tRNA from 1 species
GUAGCUCAGCCGGUAGAGCAGCGGUUUCGUAAACCGCAGGUCGUGGGUUCAAGUCCCACCGCCAGCU